ACAGCAGUCGCCGCGGUAAUACAGAGGGUGCAAGCGUUAAUCGGAAUUACUGGGCGUAAAGCGCGCGUAGGUGGUUUGUUAAGUUGGAUGUGAAAGCCCCGGGCUCAACCUGGGAACUGCAUCCAAAACUGGCAAGCUAGAGUACGGUAGAGGGUGGUGGAAUUUCCUGUGUAGCGGUGAAAUGCGUAGAUAUAGGAAGGAACACCAGUGGCGAAGGCGACCACCUGGACUGAUACUGACACUGAGGUGCGAAAGCGUGGGGAGCAAACAGGAUUAGAUACCCCGGUAGUCCCUGUCUCUUAUAC
rnacentral:rRNA from 1 species